AUUCAUUUGAUGUUUUACAUCAGUAUCAACUAGACGCGCCCACACCUGAACAAAAACGUAACGUUUUAAUGAUGGAUCAAGCACAAUACGUUUUUUUAAUCUUUCUUUUGAUGAACUCCUCCGUAUUUACUGCGGUUCAAAAAGAUCAAGACCAGUUCAUUAAAAUUGGUAGCAAGUAUUACUAAGUGGUGUUUAAGGACUCAGAGUUGAAUUGGUUCGCAGCUGCUCAUUUUUGCCGUUCUCAGGACAGUGAAUUGCUGACGAUUGAAUCGUUGGCUGAAAAGGAAGCUUUA